rnacentral:rRNA from 1 species
UACGGGGGGGGUAAGCGUUGUUCGGAAUUACUGGGCGUAAAGGGCUCGUAGGCGGCCAACUAAGUCAGACGUGAAAUCCCCAGGCUUAACUUGGGAACUGCGUCUGAUACUGGGAGGCUUGAGUGCGGGAGAGGGAUGUGGAAUUCCAGGUGUAGCGGUGAAAUGCGUAGAUAUCUACUGGAACGCCGAUGGUGAAGACGCUCGGCUGGGCCUUUCCUGACGCUGAGGCACGAAAGCGUGGGGAGCAAACAGG